UACGUAGGGUGCGAGCGUUAAUCGGAAUUACUGGGCGUAAAGUGUGCGCAGGUGGCCGCGCAAGUCGAGUGUGAAAUCCCCGAGCUUAACUUGGGAAUUGCGCUCGAAACUACGUGGCUCGAGUGUGGCAGAGGAAGGUGGAAUUCCACGUGUAGCGGUGAAAUGCGUAGAGAUGUGGAGGAACACCGAUGGCGAAGGCAGCCUUCUGGGCCUUACCUGACGCUCAGGUGCGAAAGCUAGGGGAGCGAACAGG
rnacentral:rRNA from 1 species